rnacentral:rRNA from 1 species
UGGGGAAUAUUGCACAAUGGGCGCAAGCCUGAUCCAGCCAUGCCGCGUGCGGGAUGAAGGCCUUCGGGUUGUAAACCGCUGUCGAAGGGGAGGAAAUUGUAGUGGGUUCACCCAUUAUAUUGACCGAUCCUUGGAGGAAGGGCCGGCUAAUCUCGUGC